rnacentral:rRNA from 1 species
GGCGUAGGUGACAAGCGUUAUCCGGAAUUAUUGGGCGUAAAGAGCGUGUAGGCGGUAUAUUAAGUUCAUUGUAAAAGACACUAGCUCAACUAGUGCAGCGCAAUAAAUACUGAUAAACUAGAGUGCAGAAGGGGCGAGUGGAAUUCCAUAUGUAGCGGUGAAAUGCGUAGAUAUAUGGAGGAACACCAGUGGCGAAAGCGUCUCGCUGGUCUGCAACUGACGCUAAGACGAGAAAGCGUGGGUAGCAAACAGG